rnacentral:rRNA from 1 species
GAUGAACGCUGGCGGCGUGCCUAAUACAUGCAAGUCGAGCGAACAGACGAGGAGCUUGCUCCUCUGACGUUAGCGGCGGACGGGUGAGUAACACGUGGAUAACCUACCUAUAAGACUGGGAUAACUUCGGGAAACCGGAGCUAAUACCGGAUAAUAUAUUGAACCGCAUGGUUCAAUAGUGAAAGACGGUUUUGCUGUCACUUAUAGAUGGAUCCGCGCCGCAUUAGCUAGUUGGUAAGGUAACGGCUCACCAAGGCGACGAUGCGUAGCCGACCUGAGAGGGUGAUCGGCCACACUGGAACUGAGACACGGUCCAGACUCCUACGGGAGGCAGCAGUAGGGAAUCUUCCGCAAUGGGCGAAAGCUUGACGGAGCAACGCCGCGUGAGUGAUGAAGGUCUUCGGAUCGUAAAACUCUGUUAUUAGGGAAGAACAAAUGUGUAAGUAACUAUGCACGUCUUGACGGUACCUAAUCAGAAAGCCACGGCUAACUACGUG